UGCAAGUCGAACGGCAGCGCGGGCUUCGGCCUGGCGGCGAGUGGCGAACGGGUGAGUAAUGCAUCGGAACGUACCCAGUCGUGGGGGAUAACACAUCGAAAGAUGUGCUAAUACCGCAUACGUCCUGAGGGAGAAAGCGGGGGACCUUCGGGCCUCGCGCGAUUGGAGCGGCCGAUGUCAGAUUAGCUAGUAGGUGGGGUAAAGGCCCACCUAGGCGACGAUCUGUAGCGGGUCUGAGAGGAUGAUCCGCCACACUGGGACUGAGACACGGCCCAGACUCCUACGGGAGGCAGCAGUGGGGAAUUUUGGACAAUGGGGGCAACCCUGAUCCAGCCAUGCCGCGUGAGUGAAGAAGGCCUUCGGGUUGUAAAGCUCUUUCGGCCGGGAAGAAAUCGCACCUUUUAAUAGAGGGUGUGGAUGACGGUACCGGACUAAGAAGCACCGGCUAACUACGUGCCAGCAGCCGCGGUAAUACGUAGGGUGCGAGCGUUAAUCGGAAUUACUGGGCGUAAAGCGUGCGCAGGCGGUUUGCCAAGACAGGCGUGAAAUCCCCGGGCUUAACCUGGGAACUGCGCUUGUGACUGGCAGGCUAGAGUACGGCAGAGGGGGGUGGAAUUCCACGUGUAGCAGUGAAAUGCGUAGAGAUGUGGAGGAACACCGAUGGCGAAGGCAG
rnacentral:rRNA from 1 species